GGAUGUGAGGGCGAUCUGGCUGUGACAUUUGUCACCCCAUUGAUCACCAGGGUUGAUUCGGCUGAUCUGGAUGACUAGGCAGAUGUCCCCUUUCUCCCUCACUACUCCGUUUGCAUCCCUCCCAAAGCUGCAUGCUCGGUGGAUGAGGACGACAUCCCAGGUAUAGAAGGAGUGUACUGAGGUCUCCAGUCUUCGGUCCUGGGUAUACGAUAGCUGUGCUCCCCUGCUAGAAACUCCAAACAAGCUCAAGGUCCAUUUGUAGGUAAAUGGCACCUGUCCUUGAUUCAUGACAUGUAUUCAAUAAAAUU
rnacentral:snRNA from 1 species